UAAGCAGAUUUCUCACCUGUGC
rnacentral:siRNA from 1 species